CGGACGGGUGAGUAAUGUCUGGGAAACUGCCUGAUGGAGGGGGAUAACUACUGGAAACGGUAGCUAAUACCGCAUAACGUCGCAAGACCAAAGAGGGGGACCUUCGGGCCUCUUGCCAUCGGAUGUGCCCAGAUGGGAUUAGCUAGUAGGUGGGUAAAGGCUCACCUAGGCGACGAUCCCUAGCUGGUCUGAGAGGAUGACCAGCCACACUGGAACUGAGACACGGUCCAG
rnacentral:rRNA from 1 species